UGGGGAAUAUUGCACAAUGGGCGCAAGCCUGAUGCAGCCAUGCCGCGUGUAUGAAGAAGGCCUUCGGGUUGUAAAGUACUUUCAGCGGGGAGGAAGGGAGUAAAGUUAAUACCUUUGCUCAUUGACGUUACCCGCAGAAGAAGCACCGGCUAACUCCGUGCCAGCAGCCGCGGUAAUACGGAGGGUGCAAGCGUUAAUCGGAAUUACUUGGCGUAAAGCGCACGCAGGCGGUUUUUUAAGUCAGAUGUGAAAUCCUCGGGCUCAACCUGGGAACUGCAUCUGAUACUGGCAAGCUUGAGUCUCGUAGAGGGGGGUAGGAUUCCAGGUGUAGCGGUGAAAUGCGUAGAGAUCUGGGGGAAUACCGGUGGCGAAGGCGGCCCCCUGGGCGAAGACUGACGCUCAGGUGCGAAAGCGUGGGGAGCAAACAGG
rnacentral:rRNA from 1 species